rnacentral:rRNA from 1 species
GAGUUUGAUCCUGGCUCAGGAUGAACGCUAGCGGCAGGCCUAAUACAUGCAAGUCGAACGGCAAGUUUUGUAGCAAUACGGAACCUAGAGUGACGUACGGGUGCGUAACACGUAUGCAACCUACCCAUAACUGGAGGAUAGCUCCCCGAAAGGGGAAUUAACCCCUCCAUAGUAUAGUUUGACUGGCAUCAGUUGAUUAUUAAAACUCCGGUGGUUAUGGAUGGGCAUGCGUCUGAUUAGUUAGUUGGCGGUGUAACGGACCACCAGACGAUGAUCAGUAGGGGAACUGAGAGGUUGAUCCCCCCACACUGGCACUGAGAUACGGGCCAGACUCCUACGGGAGGCAGCAGUAGGGAAUAUUGGUCAAUGGAUGCAAGUCUGAACCCAGCCAUGCCGCGUGCAGGAAGAAGGCCCUAUGGGUUGUAAACUGCUUUUUGCCAGGGGAUAAAAUGGGCGUGCGCGCCUAAUUGAAGGUACCUGGUGAAUAAGCCACGGCUAACUACGUGCCAGCAGCCG